rnacentral:rRNA from 1 species
GAUGAACGCUGGCGGCGUGCCUAAUACAUGCAAGUCGAGCGAACGGACGAGAAGCUUGCUUCUCUGAUGUUAGCGGCGGACGGGGGAGUAACACGUGGAUAACCUACCUAUAAGACUGGGAUAACUUCGGGAAACCGGAGCUAAUACCGGAUAAUAUUUUGAACCGCAUGGUUCAAAAGUGAAAGACGGGCUUGCUGUCAAUUAUAGAUGGAUCCGCGCUGCAUUAGCUAGUUGGUAAGGUAACGGCUUACCAAGGCAACGAUGCAUAGCCGACCUGAGAGGGUGAUCGGCCACACUGGAACUGAGACACGGUCCAGACUCCUACGGGAGGCAGCAGUAGGGAAUCUUCCGCAAUGGGCGAAAGCCUGACGGAGCAACGCCGCGUGAGUGAUGAAGGUCUUCGGAUCGUAAAACUCUGUUAUUAGGGAAGAACAUAUGUGUAAGUAACUGUGCACAUCUUGACGGUACCUAAUCAGAAAGCCACGGCUAACUACGUG